rnacentral:piRNA from 1 species
UGGCAAUGAAUUAGGUGACCUGGUAUACA